rnacentral:tRNA from 1 species
GGCCUGUUAGCUCAUUUGGGUAGAGCGCCGUGCUAAUAACGUGGAGAUCAUAAGUUCGAUCCUCUUACGGGCUA